UACAGAGGUCUCAAGCGUUGUUCGGAUUCAUUGGGCGUAAAGGGUGUGUAGGUGGCGCCGUAAGUCGGGUGUGAAAUUUCGGAGCUUAACUCCGAAACUGCAUUCGAUACUGCGGUGCUUGAGGACUGGAGAGGAGACUGGAAUUCAGGGUGUAGCAGUGAAAUGCGUAGAGAUCAUGAGGAAGACCAGUGGCGAAGGCGGGUCUCUGGACAGUUCCUGACACUGAGACACGAAGGCCAGGGGAGCAAACGGG
rnacentral:rRNA from 1 species